GCCGUAAGAGCAUCCUUUAGAACACUCAUAAUCUGAUUUUAAAGAAGAGGUUUUUCAUCCAAGACUUCAAUGCUCACUCUAGCAGAAUGUAUGCUGUUCACUCAUGGCAUGACUUCAGGAAGAGGGACAAAGGUCUCCUCUUGGAUCUGUUCUAGAUUAAAGUAACACAUGGGAUCCAACGAGCUAAUAAAAAUGCUCCCCUCAUUCUGG
rnacentral:lncRNA from 11 species